CGGACGGGGAGAGGGAAGAGAAGGUAGCAGGUGUGAACCAGGAAGGACAGACUCUUUCCCAGAGAAAACGUCACUGGAGUUAGCCAACAUGAGGUCCCUGACGAGAGAGUGGUUUGAGUGAAAUGCUGAAGGUAGAACGUGGAUUCCAUAAAUUUAAGAAUAAAGUGGCGACAACUUAAAAUAUGAAAGCAUUUCCAUAUGUUGUCUCAUUUGAUCCUUGAAAUAACCCCACAAAGGAGGCAUCAUCAUUAUUUUACACACGAGAAACAGGCUCGGAGAAGGUAAAUGGUUUACCUUAGCACACUCAGCAGAGAUGGAAAUGGAUAGGACCUUCGCCAAAGGCUGCACAGAUACGGAGAACAAGCCAGCCGCCUCCAGGGUCAACGACUGUGUACAUUUGGCUCUGCUACCAGGUGACCACACUAAUAACGUCACACCUCUCCAGCUCUACUACACUUGCUGUGUCCUUCUGAGAGUUAGAAAGGC